rnacentral:lncRNA from 1 species
AUGGCUUGAUGCAGUUAGAUAUAUGUAUAUACUUACAUUCUAUGGUGUUUUAUUUGGUAAAAACACACAAAAUUAAGUUUACCAUAAUAACUAUUUAAAUGUACAUUUCAGUAAUGUUAAGUGUAUCCGCAUUGUUGUACAACAAAGAUUCUCUAAAUCUUUUUAUCUUGCAAAAUUGAAACUGUAUACCCACUGAGCAUGAAUUCCUCCUCCCCAGGGGAAAAUUUUCAUUUUAAUUCAUCCUUAUAAUGAAGCAUUCAGAAUACAUAAAGAACUCCUUAAAAUAAUCUCAAAAUCAGACUACUUCUAGAAAGAGUCAAGGAAUCAUUUAGUACUCUUAAGUGUACAAAUAAAAGAAAAACUAUCCAACUCAAAUCAACUAAUAAAUUAAUAAAAAGGAAUUUAGAGGCUCCUGCAAAUAAUAGUCUUCUAUCUGGGGCUCAAAUGAUGGAACCAGGACUAGCUUCUCUUGCAUUUCUGUUCUGUCUCUAGGUGUUAUUUCCCUUCCCAGGGUGGUGGGAGCAGCACCAGCCAACCCUUUCUUCCUGGGCCUUGUGAGGAGGCUCUUUCUUCCCGGCAAUCCAAACAGACAACUCCUCAGUCUAAUGAGGACUCAGAAAACCUCAGUGUGGCCACCAUCUGCCCAUCACCAUGCUGAAGUUGCUCCAGUGAACUUAGAGGCCAAACUAAGUGAAUUCUGGGUCUUGAGACACAUCAAAGCAGACCACUCCUCCUACUUGGGUGAGCCAGAAUUUUAAAUUUCAGUGUUUAACUUCCUCUCUCCUUUUUCUCCUUUACUUUUUAACUGUUGUUAUUGAAAAUAAUGCAACAUUUUAAAAUUGUACAUAAAAAUAAUUACCCUCAGGGAAUUCCCUGGUUGUCCAGUGGUUAGGACUCAGAACUUUCACUGACGAUGACCUGGGUUCGAUCCCUGGUCAGGGAACUAAUAU